rnacentral:rRNA from 1 species
GACGGGGUGCAAGCGUUGUUCGGAAUCAUUGGGCGUAAGCGUGUGCAGGUGGCUCUACAAGUCAGAUGUGAAAGCCCCGGGCUUAACCCGGGAAGUGCAUUUGAAACUGCAGAGCUUGAGUAUGGAAGAGGGUCGUGGAAUUCCAGGUGUAGUGGUGAAAUAACGUAGAUAUCUGGAGGAACACCGGUGGCGAAGGCGGCGACCUGGUCCAAUACUGACACUCAUACACGAAAGCGUGGG